rnacentral:rRNA from 1 species
AAAAAAGGUAAGCUACUAAGAGCGAAUGGUGGAUGCCUUGACUGGUAAAGGCGAUGAAGGACGUACUAGACUGCGAUAAGCUACGGGGAGCUGUCAAGAAGCUUUGAUCCGUAGAUUUCCGAAUGGGGCAACCCAAUGUAUAGAGAUAUACAUUACCUAUAUAGGAGCGAACGAGGGGAAUUGAAACAUCUUAGUACCCUCAGGAAAAGAAAUCAAUAGAGAUUGCGUCAGUAGCGGCGAGCGAAAGCGCAAGAGGGCAAACCCAGUGCUUGCACUGGGGGUUGUAGGACUGCAAUGUGCAAGAGGUGAGUUUAGCAGAACAUUCUGGAAAGUAUAGCCAUAGAGGGUGAUAGUCCCGUAUGCGAAAAACAAACCUUAGCUAGCAGUAUCCUGAGUAGGGCGGGACACGAGAAAUCCUGUCUGAAGCUGGGUCGACCACGAUCCAACCCUAAAUACUAAUACCAGAUCGAUAGUGCACAAGUACCGUGAGGGAAAGGUGAAAAGAACUGAGGUGAUCAGAGUGAAAUAGAACCUGAAACCAUUUGCUUACAAUCAUUCAGAGCCCUAUGUAGCAAUACAGGGUGAUGGACUGCCUUUUGCAUAAUGAGCCUGCGAGUUGUGGUGUCUGGCAAGGUUAAGCAAACGUGAAGCCGUAGCGAAAGCGAGUCUGAAUAGGGCGCUUAGUCAGAUGCUGCAGACCCGAAACGAAGUGAUCUAUCCAUGAGCAAGUUGAAGCUAGUGUAAGAACUAGUGGAGGACUGAACCCAUAGGCGUUGAAAAGCCCCGGGAUGACUUGUGGAUAGGGGUGAAAGGCCAAUCAAACUUCGUGAUAGCUGGUUCUCUCCGAAAUAUAUUUAGGUAUAGCGUUGUGUCGUAAUAUAAGGGGGUAGAGCACUGAAUGGGCUAGGGCAUACACCAAUGUACCAAACCCUAUCAAACUCCGAAUACCUUAUAUGUAAUCACAGCAGUCAGGCGGCGAGUGAUAAAAUCCGUCGUCAAGAGGGAAACAACCCAGACUACCAGCUAAGGUCCCUAAAUCUUACUUAAGUGGAAAACGAUGUGAAGUUACUUAAACAACCAGGAGGUUGGCUUAGAAGCAGCCAUCCUUUAAAGAAAGCGUAAUAGCUCACUGGUCUAGUGAUUUUGCGCGGAAAAUAUAACGGGGCUAAAGUAAGUACCGAAGCUGUAGACUUGCGCACAACUUAGAUUAUUUAAGUUUAGAAUAUGAGAAACUAAGUUAUAUGUUUAGUUAUAUUUUUACUGAUUUUUAUAGAGUAAAGAUAGAAAUAAAACUUAGUAAAAUCAGUAAAAAUAUUCUUAGAUUAAAGUUAAGUAGUUUAAGUUGUGUGCAAGUGGUAGGAGAGCGUUCUAUUUGCGUCGAAGGUAUACCGGUAAGGAGUGCUGGAGCGAAUAGAAGUGAGCAUGCAGGCAUGAGUAGCGAUAAUUAAUGUGAGAAUCAUUAACGCCGUAAACCCAAGGUUUCCUACGCGAUGCUCGUCAUCGUAGGGUUAGUCGGGUCCUAAGUCGAGUCCGAAAGGGGUAGACGAUGGCAAAUUGGUUAAUAUUCCAAUACCAACAUUAGUGUGCGAUGGAAGGACGCUUAGGGCUAAGGGGGCUAGCGGAUGGAAGUGCUAGUCUAAGGUCGUAGGAGGUUAUACAGGCAAAUCCGUAUAACAAUACUCCGAGAACUGAAAGGCUUUUUGAAGUCUUCGGAUGGAUAGAAGAACCCCUGAUGCCGUCGAGCCAAGAAAAGUUUCUAAGUUUAGCUAAUGUUGCCCGUACCGUAAACCGACACAGGUGGGUGGGAUGAGUAUUCUAAGGCGCGUGGAAGAACUCUCUUUAAGGAACUCUGCAAAAUAGCACCGUAUCUUCGGUAUAAGGUGUGGUUCGCUUCGUAUUAGGAUUUACUCCGAAAGCGAAGAAACUUACAACAAAGAGUCCCUCCCGACUGUUUACCAAAAACACAGCACUCUGCUAACUCGUAAGAGGAUGUAUAGGGUGUGACGCCUGCCCGGUGCUCGAAGGUUAAUUGAUGGGGUUAGCAUUAGCGAAGCUCUUGAUCGAAGCCCGAGUAAACGGCGGCCGUAACUAUAACGGUCCUAAGGUAGCGAAAUUCCUUGUCGGUUAAAUACCGACCUGCAUGAAUGGCGUAACGAGAUGGGAGCUGUCUCAAAGAGGGAUCCAGUGAAAUUGUAGUGGAGGUGAAAAUUCCUCCUACCCGCGGCAAGACGGAAAGACCCCGUGGACCUUUACUACAGCUUGACACUGCUAUUUGGAUAAGAAUGUGCAGGAUAGGUGGGAGGCUUUGAGUAUAUGACGCCAGUUGUAUAUGAGCCAUUGUUGAGAUACCACUCUUUCUUAUUUGGGUAGCUAACCAGC